rnacentral:lncRNA from 1 species
AAGUUGCCACAGCCCUCACUCAGGGCUUCAUGCACGCCAGGGCAGUCCUGGGUCAAUGGUCUCUUUCCCCUCCUCCUGUUGGAUAGAUGAAGAGGCCUGAGCAGGAAGGUGGUGGUUCCGUGGGGAAUCUUCAGUGACUGGAGUAUGUUGUAAGGAUGGUGAAUCGUCACUUGGCCAGCCAGGGUUUGGCAGUCAAGACAGAGAGCAGUGUCUGGGCCCACAGCAUGAGAGACUGCUGGACUUCAGUCUUCGGAGCAGGCAAGAACGGGGAGCUUCUGUGGAUUUCUAUUCCUGUCGCCUGUCACUGUGAACAGUGCCCAGUACUGCUGGUCAGUAAAUGUUUGCUAAAAUACUGAGCAACCAAGGAAGUGACUUCAGUUGAACUCUGUACCUGUUGUGUUCACUUCCUUUGCAACAUGCGUGACUAAUGGUUACUCCUUCUCUUGAAUGCUUCCAGAAGAGUAGCACUCACCACCUCAUGAGGAAAGGCACUGCAACUUUGGUCAAUGAUAUCUGUUAGAAAGAUCUUUUCCUAUAUUUAGAAGAGUGAUUCUCAUACCUGAGCAUGUAUGAGAAUCAGUGGGUUUGAGGUGGGCCCAAGAAUUUCCCUUUCUAACAAGUUCCCAGAAGAUGCUGAUGUGGCAGCUUCUAGCACAGUGCUUGGAAAUCCAUGAGUUUUCAAGAGGACAAUCUAAAGUGUUCCUUUGUUUUCCUUUACUUCCCCUCAUUCUCAAAUCCUAUGGGGAUGACACAGAGAACCACAAACAAAACAACACACACACACACACACACACACACACAUACACACACAGAGCACCCUUGUCCCUAGCUUUAUCCUCUGGGAUACACAGGACAAGCUCCUCCCUGUUCUAUGUGCAACUUUUAAAAUAUGUGCAACUUUUAAAAUACGUGGAUGUGGCUUUCACAUCUUCUUAGUCCCUCUUUAGCAGAUUUUUUACAAAACAAAUAAGCCAGGAAACCAUGGUCUGAAAGGAUUCCUGCUCUGGUGAGAUCCAAGACCCACAGCGAGGGCGAAGACAGAGGUCUUGCUGCAGCCCCGGCUUCCUCCACAUGGAGGUCCCAGGAAGACGGCAUAAGCCAUUGCCUCGAUAAUAACCUGCUUGCUAACUUCCAGCCAGUGCUUCCACAUUUUCAUGACUUCCAAAGGUUCAGAUGAGGAUGGUAGUUGUGAGUUUGGGAUGAAGUCUUCUGAGCGACUCCUAUGGCCCAGCCACAGGGACCUGGGGCUGGAGAGAGAGGACCAUCCCAGGCUGCAGCAGCCAACACCUGUGUGGAGGUGCAGGCCCGUGGCCCCCAGCUGUGGUGGACACAGCUGUGCUUCCUGAUAGCACCCUUCCCUGCACCUACACCGUGACAUCCUCCUCCUCAGCCUGAGUGCAGGCACCACCUGAAGGGUAUUUGGGGGAGGGCACCAGUGUCCCCAAGGUAGGAGCUAGUGCAUAUGGCCUCGUCCUUCAGAGGGACAAUUCUGAGAGGCAAUCUGCGUGCUUUCAAAGGCCCAGAAACACACCCUGUGUUGCCUCCUCCCUGUCUGACUCUUCCUCUUCCUCCUGCUCCCUGGGACCAGCUCCCAAACAAACUCAAUUUCUUCUCUCAGUCGAAGUUUGCUAAGUGAGUGAAGAGUCAAAUAAAUGAUGUUGCUUAACUCUCCCUCUGAUGUGUGAAUGUCCUCUAGGAACAAGCCUUUUGUAGGAGAACUGUAGGCCAGGGCUGAGUGCACCUGGGAUGCAGGAUCUCCAGGGGGGACCUAUCACUUGUGCGAAUUUAAACCUGCUCAGAGCUUAGGGCCCGGCUCUGCUCAAGAUGGGCAGAAAUAAAGAAGACUAAACAUUU